rnacentral:rRNA from 1 species
AAAAAAGGUAAGCUACUAAGAGCGAAUGGUGGAUGCCUUGACUGGUAAAGGCGAUGAAGGACGUACUAGACUGCGAUAAGCUACGGGGAGCUGUCAAGAAGCUUUGAUCCGUAGAUUUCCGAAUGGGGCAACCCAAUGUAUAGAGAUAUACAUUACCUAUAUAGGAGCGAACGAGGGGAAUUGAAACAUCUUAGUACUCUCAGGAAAAGAAAUCAAUAGAGAUUGCGUCAGUAGCGGCGAGCGAAAGCGCAAGAGGGCAAACCCAGUGCUUGCACUGGGGGUUGUAGGACUGCAAUGUGCAAGAGGUAAGUUUAGCAGAACAUUCUGGAAAGUAUAACCAUAGAGGGUGAUAGUCCCGUAUGCGAAAAACAAAGCUUAGCUAGCAGUAUCCUGAGUAGGGCGGGACACGAGGAAUCCUGUCUGAAUCCGGGUCGACCACGAUCCAACCCUAAAUACUAAUACCAGAUCGAUAGUGCACAAGUACCGUGAGGGAAAGGUGAAAAGAACUGAGGUGAUCAGAGUGAAAUAGAACCUGAAACCAUUUGCUUACAAUCAUUCAGAGCACUAUGUAGCAAUACAGUGUGAUGGACUGCCUUUUGCAUAAUGAGCCUGCGAGUUGUGGUGUCUGGCAAGGUUAAGCAAACGCGAAGCCGUAGCGAAAGCGAGUCUGAAUAGGGCGCUUAGUCAGAUGCUGCAGACCCGAAACGAAGUGAUCUAUCCAUGAGCAAGUUGAAGCUAGUGUAAGAACUAGUGGAGGACUGAACCCAUAGGCGUUGAAAAGCCCCGGGAUGACUUGUGGAUAGGGGUGAAAGGCCAAUCAAACUUCGUGAUAGCUGGUUCUCUCCGAAAUAUAUUUAGGUAUAGCGUUGUGUCGUAAUAUAAGGGGGUAGAGCACUGAAUGGGCUAGGGCAUACACCAAUGUACCAAACCCUAUCAAACUCCGAAUACCUUAUAUGUAAUCACAGCAGUCAGGCGGCGAGUGAUAAAAUCCGUCGUCAAGAGGGAAACAACCCAGACUACCAGCUAAGGUCCCUAAAUCUUACUUAAGUGGAAAACGAUGUGAAGUUACUUAAACAACCAGGAGGUUGGCUUAGAAGCAGCCAUCCUUUAAAGAAAGCGUAAUAGCUCACUGGUCUAGUGAUUUUGCGCGGAAAAUAUAACGGGGCUAAAGUAAGUACCGAAGCUGUAGACUU